AUCCCUACCGGCCAAACCCUCCCUAACCCGGACGACGCUAGGCCAAUUGUGUGUCGCCCCAUGGACCUCCCGGUCACGGCCAGCUGUGACAGAGCCUGGGCUCGAACCCAGAGUUUCUGGUGGAACAGCCACAGGUGGCCUUAGACCACUGCACCACCCGGGAGGCCCAUAAAACAUAUUUAUUGGGUACAAACAACCUUGUGUAGAGUAGGGAUUUGUUGUUGUUGAUUGAAUAAUGGUCAUAAAUGGGACUCACUAAUGCCUGGAUAUUAGGAUAGAUAUGGAUAUUAGCCACUGGUACUGGUGAGUGAAAUUAUGUCAGUAGGCACUUAUGUCAAGGUUGCUGAGGUGGUAAGUAUUUACUAUAGUCCAGCUGGCAAGACAGGUGUCUGGUUUUAACCUGCACAAUGUUUGACCUGACAUAGACACUGAUAGCAUUGUAAUUACUACAUUAUGAUCCGUUUUUAUCAAUCAAAUGAUAAAUGAAUAACAAUACCAUACUCGUUUGAAAUUCUUCAAUUGGCUCUCCUAUUCUUAAUAAUGUGUUUUUUUUCUCUCCUCCAAAACAUUCACUGCACAUUAAGAUGGUAUGGUUAAAACGCAUGCAUUUGAUUAGAUGGGGAGCUGCUGUUGUAGUGAUAUAUACCUGUCACCAGCAGAGGGCCAAUGAGGAGAGCAGAGUAUAUCCAGAAUCAGACACCGGUGACCUUUCUGUGAGGGGUGUUGCACGUGCAGGCACAGCAGAUCAAUGUCCCACCUCUGCUUCCAGUCAUGGCGUCUUACACUCAGCUUGCAGUGCCCCUUGUGGCGGGAGGUCAGGACUACAGUUACCACAACACAGACACUGCCUAUGCUCAGCUUCAGCAUCAGCGUCCUUCAGCCACGUUAGAGGCUGAUCAUUCUUCUGGCCCAGGCAUGGUG